CAGGCCUAACACAUGCAAGUCGAACGAGACCUUCGGGUCUAGUGGCGCACGGGUGCGUAACGCGUGGGAAUCUGCCCCUUGGUUCGGAAUAACAGCGAGAAAUUGCUGCUAAUACCGGAUAACGACGUAAGUCCAAAGAUUUAUCGCCGAGGGAUGAGCCCGCGUAGGAUUAGCUAGUUGGUGUGGUAAAGGCGCACCAAGGCGACGAUCCUUAGCUGGUCUGAGAGGAUGAUCAGCCACACUGGGACUGAGACACGGCCCAGACUCCUACGGGAGGCAGCAGUGGGGAAUAUUGGACAAUGGGCGAAAGCCUGAUCCAGCAAUGCCGCGUGAGUGAUGAAGGCCUUAGGGUUGUAAAGCGCUUUGACCCGGGAUGAUAAUGACAGUACCGGGAGAAGAAGCUCCGGCUAACUCCGUGCCAGCAGCCGCG
rnacentral:rRNA from 1 species